UACGUAGGUGGCAAGCGUUGUCCGGAUUUAUUGGGCGUAAAGGGAGCGCAGGCGGUGAUUUAAGUCUGAUGUGAAAGCCCACGGCUCAACCGUGGAAUGGCAUUGGAAACUGGGUCACUUGAGUGCAGAAGAGGAAAGCGGAAUUCCAUGUGUAGCGGUGAAAUGCGUAGAUAUAUGGAGGAACACCAGUGGCGAAGGCGGCUUUCUGGCAAUCAUCAGACGCUGAGGUACGAAAGAGUGGGUAGCAAACAGG
rnacentral:rRNA from 1 species